GCGGGGGUGGCCGAGCCUGGCAAAGGCGCGGGACUUAAGAUCCCGUUCCGAAGGGAUUCGCCGGUUCAAGUCCGGCCCCCCGCA
rnacentral:tRNA from 1 species